GUGUCAUGUGUAAGAACAGCUCUUAGCUGUGGUAUAUUGUCCAUAUCCAUGAGCAUUUAAAGAAUGGUCUAAUUUCUUCCAAUCAGAGUUUAAAUGAAGAUGAUCCACAUGAUCAUCAAAGUUUGGAAGGUCAAGUCCAGAAAAUGAAGAAUGAUAUCCUGGGUUUAAACUAUCCAGAAGAUAGGGAAGUGCUGAAGGCUGUGACAAGGAGAAAGGUGAGAGAAUAGACUGAGGAGAGAAAGGGAAAUCUGGGGUCUUACCUGUCCACACUUUAAACCUGUCCAAUAUGCCAUAUAACAUGUUGUUGUGAGGUUGGAGGGUAAAUUGUCCUUACAACAGACUUCCAUCUCUUAAUAUUCAAUCACCAAUUGUUUACUGUAACUCUUCUCAAAGGCCUGUAUAGCAACGGCAACAUACACUAUGUCAUUGACUGUAUUGUCUUUUUAGACCAAGAGGAGGACCACUGCCAACAGGUCCACAGUUGAACAGAGCUAUGAUACUGAUGCAGCUGAGAGAGAUUUUGUUGAUAAUCAGAACGAUGAGGAAGCGGUGAAGAAGGAUCCCCUGCCUCAGAUGGAGCAGGAUGCCGUGAAGAGAAAUAAAGUCAAGACCAAGAGGACCAAGAGAAACAAAGUGGAGCAGAUCACUGAUAUAGAUGCAGGUCCCUCUACAUCUGUGGAAUUUUCUGGGAUGACAGUUCAGGGGACAUCUCACCAGGGACAAUCUAAUGAAAAGAUCCUAAGUGAGUGUGUCUCCAGGGCCUGUCAGACCAGGGCUCUUGACCUCCCGCCAAUCGAUCCGGAUGCUUUCAACCCGAUUAUCAUCCUGUUUCUGGAAAAACUUACUGAGGAGUAUGUCCAAACUUCUAUUGUAGUAUUUGAAUACAAUGUCAUCUGGA
rnacentral:lncRNA from 13 species